UGAGGAAUCUUGCGCAAUGGGGGAAACCCUGACGCAGCAACGCCGCGUGAGUGAGGAAGGCUUUCGGGUCGUAAAGCUCUGUCAGAUGGGAAGAAAUGGUUGGAAGUUAAUACCUUCCAUCCUUGACGGUACCAUCAGAGGAAGCACCGGCUAACUCCGUGCCAGCAGCCGCGGUAAUACGGGGGGUGCAAGCGUUGUUCGGAAUCAUUGGGCGUAAAGCGCGCGCAGGCGGCUUGGUAAGUCAGAUGUGAAAUCCCUGGGCUUAACCCAGGAAGUGCAUUUGAUACUGCCUCGCUAGAGUACGGGGGAGGAAGGUGGAAUUCCUGGUGUAGAGGUGAAAUUCGUAGAUAUCAGGAGGAACACCGGUGGCGAAGGCGACUUUCUGGCCCGAGACUGACGCUCAGGCGCGAAAGCGUGGGGAGCAAACAGGAUUAGAUACCCCGUC
rnacentral:rRNA from 1 species